rnacentral:snoRNA from 1 species
GUAGUCGGUGAUGACAACGUUCUCAGUUGGCCCGAAUUCUUUCUGGAAUAUGAGGGCAACUUAAGUCACUACCUCUUCUGAGACAC